CCUACGGGAGGCAGCAGUGGGGAAUUUUGGACAAUGGGCGAAAGCCUGAUCCAGCAAUGCCGCGUGAGUGAAGAAGGCCUUCGGGUUGUAAAGCUCUUUUGUCAGGGAAGAAACGGCCUGUUCUAAUACAGUGGGCUAAUGACGGUACCUGAAGAAUAAGCACCGGCUAACUACGUGCCAGCAGCCGCGGUAAUACGUAGGGUGCAAGCGUUAAUCGGAAUUACUGGGCGUAAAGCGUGCGCAGGCGGUUUUGUAAGUCUGUCGUGAAAUCCCCGGGCUCAACCUGGGAAUGGCGAUGGAGACUGCAAGGCUAGAGUUUGGCAGAGGGGGGUAGAAUUCCACGUGUAGCAGUGAAAUGCGUAGAUAUGUGGAGGAACACCGAUGGCGAAGGCAGCCCCCUGGGUCAAGACUGACGCUCAUGCACGAAAGCGUGGGGAGCAAACAGGAUUAGAUACCCUGGUAGUCCACGCCCUAAAACGAUGUCUACUAGUUGUCGGGUCUUAAUUGACUUGGUAACGCAGCUAACGCGUGAAGUAGACCGCCUGGGGAGUACGGUCGCAAGAUUAAAAACUCAAAAGAGUAGUACGACGUGAGAGUGCGACGACGACGACGAGGGAGGAGGAG
rnacentral:rRNA from 1 species